CAGGGAGGUCAGUGGGAGGAUUAAUCAAGAGCGGGUGAAAGAUCCUAAUUUGCCUCAACUUGUGCAAGAAAUAGAGGAGAAGCUUUUGAAGGGAAACAUCGAGUGCAUGAUAUGCUACGAUAUGGUGAGGAGGUCUGCGCCCAUGUGGUCAUGUUCGAGCUGCUACUCGAUUUUUCAUUUGCAUUGUACCAAGAAAUGGGCAAGAGCUCCAACUUCUGUUGACACAUCUGCGGAGAAGAAUCAAAGGUUUAAUUGGCGUUGCCCAGGUUGUCAAUCAGUCCAACUCACUUCGUCCAGGGACAUACGGUAUCUUUGCUUUUGUGGGAAGAGGCAAGACCCCCCUUCAGAUUUAUACUUGACUCCACAUUCAUGUGGGGAGCCUUGUGGCAAGAAACUUGAGAAGGAGCUUCCAGGGAAUGGUCUGAGUGAAGAGGAUCUUUGCCCUCAUGUUUGUGUCUUACAGUGCCAUCCUGGUCCUUGUCCACCUUGUAAGGCAUUUGCUCCAGCUAGAAGUUGUCCCUGCGGAAAGGAAGUAAUUACCACUCGUUGCUCUGAUCGGAAGUCCGUUCUUACAUGUGGACAGCAGUGUGGUAAGCUUCUUGACUGUGGGCGUCAUCGGUGUGAACAGACUUGCCAUGUUGGUCCUUGUGGCCAUUGUCAAAUUGUUGUGGAUGCCCAUUGCUUUUGUAAGAAGAAAACAGAGUCUCUUCUUUGUGGAGAUAUGGGUGUGAAAGGAGAUAUCAAGAUGGAGGAUGGCGUCUUUUCAUGCAAUUCAGUUUGUGGAAAGAAGCUUUGUUGCGGAAAUCACAUCUGCCGUGAGCUCUGCCAUCCAGGGCCAUGUGGGGACUGUGCUUUGUUGCCUAGCAAGGUCAAGACAUGCUGUUGCGGUAAAACCAGCUUGGAAGAAGAAAGGCACAGUUG
rnacentral:misc_RNA from 1 species